rnacentral:lncRNA from 1 species
UGAGGCCCCACCUUUCCCUGCUGAAGUACAGAUCUUUUUUUUUCCCAUUACGGUGGGCCUUGUCUCCACUCAGUCCCUCUGGAUUCAGGCAGGUGCCCCCACUUUCAGGCUCUCCUUGCUAAGGCCAAGGCUUUACUCUUGGCUUUUAGAAGCGGAGGCCAAACGAUGGCCUGGAGGAGCUGUUAUCAACCGUCUCUCAUUAUCAGACUUCCCGGCCUGAGUGACAAGGUGGUGGGCUAACCUUGGACCAGGAGCUAUAGUCAAGAGGAUAGCAGUAUAGGAGGGAUCUUCUGACGAUUUCAUGGACUGCUCUGCGUGAGUCUCUCAAGGACCAUCUCCAGACUGUUAUGUGAAAGAAAAAGAAACUGUUCUGUAUCCAACAGAACCGAUGAUCAUAUGAACUCACAGACUGUGGCAGCACUCCUAAGACAUGUGGAAGUUCAAACCAGACCAGGGCUCAGCACUGAGAUGGGGAGCGGACAUGGGAUCCCAUUACUAACCAAGAAGUUAUCUACUAUUGACACCGGUUGGCAAAGGGAAAAAUCCAGUUUCUCCAGUGAAGCCUUCCCGGCUAUUAUCAAUCACACUGCUUGGCAGGCCUCAUGUACAGGAAUAGCUGACCAACACACAACAAACUUAGUAUUUCUGUGGAUAUUUUUUCUUUUGGCCUUUUUUUGUGGGGGAGAGGUCUUAUUUGUCAUUUACUUGUUUGUUUUGAUUUCCUUCUUUGUAUUUUUUCAUUGUUUCCUCUCUCUUUCUUCUUCUUCUUCUUCUCUCUUCCUCCUCCUUCCUCCUUCUUCCUUGUCAUCUUCUUCAUCGUUGUCUUGUUUUUUGUUUUGAAAGAGAGAAGAGAGCACCAAGUUAGGUGGGUAGGGAGAUAAGGAGGGUUUAGAGGAGUUGGGGGAGGGGCACAUGAUCAAAAUACAUUGUAUGAUAUUUUUCAAUUAAAAGUCAUUGCUAUU